AAUUUUGGACAAUGGGGGAAACCAUGAUCCAGCCAUCCCGCGUGUAUGAUGAAGGCCUUGGGGUUGUAAAGUACUUUUGGCAGAGAAGAAAAGGUAUCUCCUAAAACUGGAUACUGCGGACGGUAUCUGCAGAAUAAGCAACGGUCAACUACGUGCUAGCAGCCGCGGUAAUACGUAGGUUGCAAGCGUUAAUCGGAAUUACAGGGCGUAAAGCGUGUGUAGGCGGUUCUGAAAGAAAGAUGUGAAAACAAGGGCUCAACCUUGGAACUGCAUUUUUAACUGCCGAGCUAGAGUAUGUCAGAGGGGGGUAGAAUUCCACUUGUAGCAGUGAAAUGCGUAGAUAUGUGGAGGAAUACCGAUGGCGAAGGCAGCCCCCUGGGAUAAUACUGACGCUCAGACACGAAAGCGUGGGGAGCAAACGG
rnacentral:rRNA from 1 species